GGGGUUGUAACUCAGUGGUAGAGUGUACGCUUUGCAUGCGACAAGGCCGGAGUUCAAUCCUCCGCAACUCCA
rfam:Daphnia pulex DAPPTscaffold_242_Cont7714, whole genome shotgun sequence.